AGGGGUGUAGCUCAGUGGUAGAGCGGUGGUCUCCAAAUCCACGCCAGCGGGGGUUCGAUCCCCUCCACCCCUGCCA
rnacentral:tRNA from 1 species